UGCGAGUGAGCGCAACAGCUCAUAUUUAACUGGGCCUCGUGGCCGAGUUGUAAUUUGUAGAAGGUGCUUCGGGCGCGUUCGCGGUCCAAGUCCCUUGGAACAGGGCGUCGCAGAGGGUGAGAAUCCCGUACGCGGCCGACGACCAAGCCCGGGUGAAGCCCUUUCGACGAGUCGAGUUGUUUGGGAAUGCAGCUCUAAAUGGGUGGUAAAUUUCAUCUAAAGCUAAAUAUCUGCCGGAGACCGAUAGCGCACAAGUAGAGUGAUCGAAAGAUGAAAAGCACUUUGAAAAGAGAGUCAAACAGUACGUGAAAUUGUUGAAAGGGAAGCGCUUGCAACCAGACUCGUUCGCGGGUGUUCAGCCGCUCCUCGGGGCGGUGCACUCUCCCGCGUUGGGCCAGCAUCGGUUCUGGCGGCCGGACAAAGGCCUCGGGAACGUAGCUUUCUCCGGAAAGUGUUAUAGCCCGGGGUGCAAUGCGGCCAGCCGGGACCGAGGAACGCGCAUCGCUAGGAUGCUGGCGUAAUGGUUGCCAGCGACCCGUCUUGAAACACGGACCAAGGAGUCGACCAACUAUGCGAGUGUUUGGGCGUAAAACCCCCGCGCGUAAUGAAAGUGAACGGAGGUGGGAGCUUUCGGGCGCACCAUCGACCGAUCCAGAUGUCUUCGGAUGGAUUUGAGUAUGAGCCUAGUUGGUCGGACCCGAAAGUGAGUGGACUGGUUCUCGAUCCUUACGAAGUAAUGCUAAUCGGACUUUAGAAUGGUGAACUAUGCGUGAAUAGGGUGAAGCCAGAGGAAACUCUGGUGGAGGCUCGCAGCGGUUCUGACGUGCAAAUCGAUCGUCAAAUUUGCGCAUAGGGGCGAAAGACUAAUCGAACCAUUUAGUAGCUGGUUCCCGUCGAAGUUUCCCUCAGGAUAGCAGCAACGAAAAAUCAGUUUCAUGAGGUAGAGCAAACGAUUAGAGGUCUUGGGGUUGAAAUCGACCUUAACCUAUUCUCGAACUUCGAAUAUGUGAGAAGUCCUUGUUACUUAGUUGAACGUGGACACUGAAUUAUCGUUUUAGCCCUCGGUUG
rnacentral:rRNA from 1 species